ACAUGCAAGUCGAGCGGUAGCACAGAGAGCUUGCUCUCGGGUGACGAGCGGCGGACGGGUGAGUAAUGUCUGGGAAACUGCCUGAUGGAGGGGGAUAACUACUGGAAACGGUAGCUAAUACCGCAUAACGUCGCAAGACCAAAGAGGGGGACCUUCGGGCCUCUUGCCAUCAGAUGUGCCCAGAUGGGAUUAGCUAGUAGGUGGGGUAACGGCUCACCUAGGCGACGAUCCCUAGCUGGUCUGAGAGGAUGACCAGCCACACUGGAACUGAGACACGGUCCAGACUCCUACGGGAGGCAGCAGUGGGGAAUAUUGCACAAUGGGCGCAAGCCUGAUGCAGCCAUGCCGCGUGUAUGAAGAAGGCCUUCGGGUUGUAAAGUACUUUCAGCGGGGAGGAAGGUGUUGUGGUUAAUAACCACAGCAAUUGACGUUACCCGCAGAAGAAGCACCGGCUAACUCCGUGCCAGCAGCCGCGGUAAUACGGAGGGUGCAAGCGUUAAUCGGAAUUACUGGGCGUAAAGCGCACGCAGGCGGUCUGUCAAGUCGGAUGUGAAAUCCCCGGGCUCAACCUGGGAACUGCAUUCGAAACUGGCAGGCUAGAGUCUUGUAGAGGGGGGUAGAAUUCCAGGUGUAGCGGUGAAAUGCGUAGAGAUCUGGAGGAAUACCGGUGGCGAAGGCGGCCCCCUGG
rnacentral:rRNA from 1 species